rnacentral:rRNA from 1 species
AUAUUGCACAAUGGGCGCAAGCCUGAUGCAGCCAUGCCGCGUGUAUGAAGAAGGCCUUCGGGUUGUAAAGUACUUUCAGCGGGGAGGAAGGGAGUAAAGUUAAUACCUUUGCUCAUUGACGUUACCCGCAGAAGAAGCACCGGCUAACUCCGUGCCAGCAGCCGCGGUAAUACGGAGGGUGCAAGCGUUAAUCGGAAUUACUGGGCGUAAAGCGCACGCAG